rnacentral:rRNA from 1 species
AGAUUGAACGCCGGCGGCAGGCCUAACACAUGCAAGUCGAGCGGUAGAGAGGUGCUUGCACCUCUUGAGAGCGGCGGACGGGUGAGUAAAGCCUAGGAAUCUGCCUGGUAGUGGGGGAUAACGCUCGGAAACGGACGCUAAUACCGCAUACGUCCUACGGGAGAAAGCAGGGGACCUUCGGGCCUUGCGCUAUCAGAUGAGCCUAGGUCGGAUUAGCUAGUUGGUGAGGUAAUGGCUCACCAAGGCGACGAUCCGUAACUGGUCUGAGAGGAUGAUCAGUCACACUGGAACUGAGACACGGUCCAGACUCCUACGGGAGGCAGCAGUGGGGAAUAUUGGACAAUGGGCGAAAGCCUGAUCCAGCCAUGCCGCGUGUGUGAAGAAGGUCUUCGGAUUGUAAAGCACUUUAAGUUGGAGAAGGCAUUAACCUAAUACGUUAGUGUUUUGACGUUACCGACAGAAUAAGCACCGGCUAACUCUGUGCCAGCAG